rnacentral:rRNA from 1 species
UACGAAGGGGGCUAGCGUUGUUCGGAAUUACUGGGCGUAAAGCGCACGUAGGCGGAUACUUAAGUUAGGGGUGAAAUCCCAGGGCUCAACCCUGGAACUGCCUCUAAUACUGGGUAUCUUGAGUCCGAGAGAGGCGAGUGGAAUUCCGAGUGUAGAGGUGAAAUUCGUAGAUAUUCGGAGGAACACCAGUGGCGAAGGCGGCUCACUGGCUCGGUACUGACGCUGAGGUGCGAAAGCGUGGGGAGCAAACAGG